UGGGGAAUUUUGGACAAUGGGCGAAAGCCUGAUCCAGCAAUGCCGCGUGUGUGAAGAAGGCCUUCGGGUUGUAAAGCACUUUUGUCCGGAAGGAAAUCCUUGGCUCUAAUACAGUCGGGGGAUGACGGUACCGGAGGAAUAAGCACCGGCUAACUACGUGCCAGCAGCCGCGGUAAUACGUAGGGUGCAAGCGUUAAUCGGAAUUACUGGGCGUAAAGCGUGCGCAGGCGGUUUGCUAAGACCGAUGUGAAAUCCCCGGGCUCAACCUGGGAACUGCAUUGGUGACUGGCAGGCUAGAGUAUGGCAGAGGGGGGUAGAAUUCCACGUGUAGCAGUGAAAUGCGUAGAGAUGUGGAGGAAUACCGAUGGCGAAGGCAGCCCCCUGGGCCAAUACUGACGCUCAUGCACGAAAGCGUGGGGAGCAAACAGGAUUAGAUACCCUGGUAGUCCACGCCCUAAACGAUGUCAACUAGUUGUUGGGGAUUCAUUUCCUUAGUAACGUAGCUAACGCGUGAAGUUGACCGCCUGGGGAGUACGGUCGCAAGAUU
rnacentral:rRNA from 1 species